UGGGGAAUUUUGGGCAAUGGGGGAAACCCUGACCCAGCAACGCCGCGUGAAGGAUGAAGUAUUUCGGUAUGUAAACUUCGAAAGAAUAGGAAGAAUAAAUGACGGUACUAUUUAUAAGGUCCGGCUAACUACGUGCCAGCAGCCGCGGUAAUACGUAGGGACCAAGCGUUGUUCGGAUUUAUUGGGCGUAAAGAGUUCGUAGGCGGUUAUUUAAGUCUGAUGUUAAAUACUGUGGCCCAACCACAGAACUGCAUUGGAUACUGGAUGACUUGAGUGCGGUAGAGGCAAGUGGAAUUCCCAGUGUAGCGGUGAAAUGCGUAGAUAUCGGGAGGAACAUCAGUGGCGAAGGCGGCCCUCUGGUCCAGUACUGACACUCAAGUGCGAAAGCGUGGGGAGCAAACAGGAUUAGAUACCCAGGUAGUCCCUGAGCGGGCUGGCAAGGCGCAU
rnacentral:rRNA from 1 species